AUGAACGCUGGCGGCGUGCUUAACACAUGCCAGUCGAACGGUGAAGCAGAGCUUGCUCUGUGGAUCAGUGGCGAACGGGUGAGUAACACGUGAGCAACCUGCCCCUGACUCUGGGAUAAGCGCUGGAAACGGCGUCUAAUACUGGAUAUGAGCUGCGACCGCAUGGUCAGCAGUUGGAAAGAUUUUUCGGUCUGGGAUGGGCUCACGGCCUAUCAGCUUGUUGGUGAGGUAAUGGCUCACCAAGGCGUCGACGGGUAGCCGGCCUGAGAGGGUGACCGGCCACACUGGGACUGAGACACGGCCCAGACUCCUACGGGAGGCAGCAGUGGGGAAUAUUGCACAAUGGGCGAAAGCCUGAUGCAGCAACGCCGCGUGAGGGAUGACGGCCUUCGGGUUGUAAACCUCUUUUAGCAGGGAAGAAGCGAAAGCGACGGUACCUGCAGAAAAAGCGCCGGCUAACUACGUG
rnacentral:rRNA from 1 species